ACACUGGUGAAUCAAAUCCUCCCGCUGAUUUACCAAGUAGUUCUCGUCAUUAUUGGUACGUUCAUUCCAUAAUCUUUGGCAAGUUUCAGUUUCCCGAACUGUUUGCUCCAACGCCUCCAUUGCCAAAUUAUAGGUUAGUUGUUUUUCAGCAAGAGAUGCUUCAUGGCAUUUUGAAAGUUCGCUCAGCUGAGUGAAGACAUUGGGAAGGGUUUGGUGAGUAAGUUUAUUAGAAAAGUAAGAAAUAGGUUUUUUGGACGAUAAGUGGUCAUCAAGUGAUUGCGGAUAUUUUAAGUUAUCUAUCAAAUUAUCCUCGAUUUUGGAAUUUAAGGGGGAAUCAUCAUUUUCGGGAAAAGACAUGUCUUUCGAAGACAAAAAAUCUGUUGGGUAUUGGCCCUGAUUAUUUGGUAUGGAGGAUGAUGCAUAAAAGGAUAAUAAUAAUCUCGCGCAUUUCUUUGCACCAUUUCUAGCGCAGAUCAAAAGAGCGGUAUCCCCAUGAUCAUCCUGAAGGUUUAUAAUUUGGGCAGCGACAUCAACGGAUUGUGUUGCAGUUAAAUUUUGCAAUAAGAUAUCCAUAUAAUAACGAGCGGCUUCCAUCUUUGAUUUAGAAGAAGCUAAUAAUGCGAUGUGGUGAAAGACGGUUUGGCCAAAAGAGUCGUUCAUGCAGAUAGCAGAUUGAAGCAACUCCGAAACUACCUCAAAAGUCUGUAAAUCAUAGUUCAUGGUAAACAUUACACAGCGCAUCAAAGAUGUUUGUUGAAGGUAAUUGACAGCAACUACGUUGGCGCCUGCUUGCAAUAGUGCAUGCAUCAUUUCCAAAUUUCCCAUUGCAGCAGCCCAAUGAAGUGCUGUAUGACCAUCCUCAUCAAUGCCAGCAUUAACAUCCCAAUCUGAUGGCCGAUCAUAUACGAAAUCAGGAGGUUGUGUAGUAUUUGGUAAUAAAAAGUAAUCCAAGAGAGACUGCGCAUAAUUGUUUGAAGAAAACGGAGAAGCUUUGAUAUCGUGCAAAGAUCCCGUAAAGGAAUCAGAAGGCAUAUCGGGAGAGCGCGUGAAAUCAGAUUGAAGAGACAAAGCAUCAUGGAUUCCUGACAUUCUAGAAGUAGAUGUCAUAUUAUUGGAAGAUGUGUAAGGGUAGAGUAAAGAAUGCGAAGGCCGGGAAAAUGACUUUUUUACUGGACUGUUUCGUCGAUAUGCUUCUGUAGGCUUACGAUUGCUCUGAGGAGUGAACGUAGACAUUGGCAUGAACGCAGAGCCAGAGUAUUCAAUCAGAGGUUGUA